rnacentral:ncRNA from 2 species
CUCUUAUCAAGAGAGGUGGAGGGACUGUGCCCUAUGAAACCCGGCAACCGUCAGACUAACUGAAAUGGUGCCAAUUCCUGCAAAGCAUAAGCUUUGAAAGAUGAGAG